GCGCACCAGUCGAGAAUCUUCGGCAAUGGGCGAAAGCCUGACCGAGCGACGCCGCGUGCGGGAUGAAGGCCUUCGGGUUGUAAACCGCUGUCAGAGGGGAGGAAAUGUCAGGGGGUCACCUCCUGGCUUGACCUAUCCUCAGAGGAAGGACGGGCUAAGUUCGUGCCAGCAGCCGCGGUAAGACGAACCGUCCAAACGUUAUUCGGAAUUACUGGGCUUAAAAGGGUGCGUAGGCGGCCGUGCAAGUCGGGUGUGAAAAUCCCCUCGGGCUCAAACCCGAGGAACUGCGCCCGAUACUGCUCGGCUAGAGGGAGACAGAGGUGAGCGGAACUUGCGGUGGAGCGGUGAAAUGCGUUGAUAUCGCAAGGGAACA
rnacentral:rRNA from 1 species